rnacentral:snRNA from 1 species
CGAACCGCGCGAGUUCGAAUCCUAACCCGUACUACAGACAGAGAAGAUUAGCAUGGCCCCUGCACUAAGGAUGACACGCUCAAUCAAAGAGAAGCUACCUAUUUUU